rnacentral:tRNA from 1 species
CGCGCGGGUAGGCGGUGGGGCCGAGCGUGCGCCAGCCGCGCUCCUCGACCAGCGCGAUCACGAGGUUCGAGACCUCGUCGGGCGGC